rnacentral:rRNA from 1 species
CCUACGGGCGGCAGCAGUGGGGAAUAUUUCGCAAUGGGCGAAAGCCUGACGCAGCGACGCCGCGUGAGGGAUGAAGGUCUUCGGAUCGUAAACCUCUGUCAGCAGGGAAGAACGGUCACUGUGCUAAUCAGCAGUGAAUUGACGGUACCUGCAAAGAAAGCCCCGGCUAACUCCGUGCCAGCAGCCGCGGUAAUCCGGAGGGUGCGAGCGUUAAUCGGAAUUACUUGGCGUAAAGCGCUCGUAGGCGGUAUGUUAAGUCAAGGGUGAAAUCCCCGCGAUCAAAGGGGGAACUGCCUUUGAAACUGGCAAACUGGAGUGUGUGAGAGGAUAGUGGAAUUCCAGGUGUAGGAGUGAAAUCCGUAGAUAUCUGGAGGAACAUCAGUGGCGAAGGCGACUAUCUGGCACAUAACUGACGCUGAGGAGCGAAAGCGUGGGUAGCAAACAGGAUUAGAUACCCGUGUAGUC